UACGUAGGGGGCAAGCGUUGUCCGGAAUCAUUGGGCGUAAAGCGCGUGUAGGCGGCCAUGUAAGUCCGUUCUGAAAGCCCGGGGCUCAACCCCGGGAGGCGGAUGGAUACCGCAUGGCUCGAGUACGGAAGAGGCGAGUGGAAUUCCCGGUGUAGCGGUGAAAUGCGCAGAUAUCGGGAGGAACACCAAUGGCGAAGGCAGCUCGCUGGGACGUUACUGACGCUGAGACGCGAAAGCGUGGGGAGCAAACAGG
rnacentral:rRNA from 1 species